UGGGGAAUUUUGGACAAUGGGCGAAAGCCUGAUCCAGCAAUGCCGCGUGUGUGAAGAAGGCCUUCGGGUUGUAAAGCACUUUUGUCCGGAAAGAAAUCCUUGGCUCUAAUACAGUCGGGGGAUGACGGUACCGGAAGAAUAAGCACCGGCUAACUACGUGCCAGCAGCCGCGGUAAUACGUAGGGUGCAAGCGUUAAUCGGAAUUACUGGGCGUAAAGCGUGCGCAGGCGGUUUGCUAAGACCGAUGUGAAAUCCCCGGGCUCAACCUGGGAACUGCAUUGGUGACUGGCAGGCUAGAGUAUGGCAGAGGGGGGUAGAAUUCCACGUGUAGCAGUGAAAUGCGUAGAGAUGUGGAGGAAUACCGAUGGCGAAGGCAGCCCCCUGGGCCAAUACUGACGCUCAUGCACGAAAGCGUGGGGAGCAAACAGGAUUAGAUACCCUGGUAGUCCACGCCCUAAACGAUGUCAACUAGUUGUUGGGGGAUUCAUUUCCCUAGUAACGUAGCUAACGCGUGAAGUUGACCGCCUGGGGAGUACGGUCGCAAGAUUAAAACUCAAAGGAAUUGACGGGGUCAUAGCUGUUUCCU
rnacentral:rRNA from 1 species